rnacentral:tRNA from 1 species
UGCGGUGUAGCUCAAUGGUAGAGCUUCGGCCCAGCAUUGCAGGAGGUUCUGGGUUCCACCCCCAGCACCGCAA